rnacentral:rRNA from 1 species
AACGCGAAGAACCUUACCUAAGCUUGACAUCCUUUUGACCGAUGCCUAAUCGCAUCUUUCCCUUCGGGGACAGAAGUGACAGGUGGUGCAUGGUUGUCGUCAGCUCGUGUCGUGAGAUGUUGGGUUAAGUCCCGCAACGAGCGCAACCCUUGCCUUUAGUUGCCAGCAUUAAGUUGGGCACUCUAGAGGGACUGCCAGGGAUAACCUGGAGGAAGGUGGGGAUGACGUCAAAUCAUCAUGCCCCUUAUGCUUAGGGCUACACACGUGCUAUAAUGGGUGGUACAGAGGGCAGCC